GACGAACGCUGGCGGCGUGCUUAACACAUGCAAGUCGAACGGAAAGGCCCUGCUUUUGUGGGGUGCUCGAGUGGCGAACGGGUGAGUAACACGUGAGUAACCUGCCCUUGACUUUGGGAUAACUUCAGGAAACUGGGGCUAAUACCGGAUAGGAGCUCCUGCUGCAUGGUGGGGGUUGGAAAGUUUCGGCGGUUGGGGAUGGACUCGCGGCUUAUCCGCUUGUUGGUGGGGUAGUGGCUUACCAAGGCUUUGACGGGUAGCCGGCCUGAGAGGGUGACCGGCCACAUUGGGACGGAGAUACGGCCCAGACUCCUACGGGAGGCAGCAGUGGAGAAUAGUGCACAAUGGGCGGAAGCCUGAUGCAGCAACGCCGCGUGCGGGAUGACGGCCUUCGGGUUGUAAACCGCUUUCGCCUGUGACGAAGCGUGAGUGACGGUAAUGGGUAAAGAAGCACCGGCUAACUACGUG
rnacentral:rRNA from 1 species